UACGGAGGAUCCAAGCGUUAUCCGGAAUCAUUGGGUUUAAAGGGUCCGUAGGCGGGCAGCUAAGUCAGUGGUGAAAGUCUGCAGCUCAACUGUAGAAUUGCCAUUGAUACUGGUUGUCUUGAAUUAGUGUGAAGUGGUUAGAAUAUGUAGUGUAGCGGUGAAAUGCAUAGAUAUUACAUAGAAUACCAAUUGCGAAGGCAGAUCACUAACACUAUAUUGACGCUGAUGGACGAAAGCGUGGGGAGCGAACAGG
rnacentral:rRNA from 1 species